UACGAAGGGGGCUAGCGUUGCUCGGAAUUACUGGGCGUAAAGCGCACGUAGGCGGCUUUCUAAGUCGGGGGUGAAAUCCUGGAGCUCAACUCCAGAACUGCCCUCGAUACUGGAAAGCUCGAGUCCGGGAGAGGUGAGUGGAACUGCGAGUGUAGAGGUGAAAUUCGUAGAUAUUCGCAAGAACACCAGUGGCGAAGGCGGCUCACUGGCCCGGUACUGACGCUGAGGUGCGAAAGCGUGGGGAGCAAACAGG
rnacentral:rRNA from 1 species